rnacentral:rRNA from 1 species
AGUAAUGCUUGGGAAUCUAGCCUAUGGAGGGGGAUAACUACGGGAAACUGUAGCUAAUACCGCGUAGAAUCGAGAGAUGAAAGUGUGGGACCUUCGGGCCACAUGCCAUAGGAUGAGCCCAAGUGGGAUUAGGUAGUUGGUGAGGUAAAGGCUCACCAAGCCGACGAUCUCUAGCUGGUCUGAGAGGAUGACCAGCCACACUGGGACUGAGACACGGCCCAG